CUUGACUCUAGUCUGAUAUUGUAGAGAGACAUCAGAGGUGUAGCAUAGGUGGGAGGUCGGCGCGCUUUCGUCGCUGCCGGUCCGACAGUGAAAUACCACUACUCUGAUCGUUUCUCUACUUACUCGGUGAGAUGGAACCGGAGCCUGGCUCCCAAAGUGGGCCAGUGCCUCUGCGAUUCUAGCUCCAAGCUGUGCUAAGAAAGCGCUCGCCAAACAUGUAGUAGCCCGGCCCGAGGGGUCAAAGCCGAGGGUCGGGCGAAAAAUUGCGCGCUGCGUGAAGGGUGUACGCACCCGCGCGCGAUCCUUCCCGAGGACAGUAUCAGGUGGGGAGUUUGACUGGGGCGGUACAUCUGUCAAAUGGUAACGCAGGUGUCCCAAGGCUAGCUCAGCGAGGACAGAAACCUCGCGUAGAGUAAAAGAGCAAAAGCUAGCCUGAUCCUGAUUUUCAGUACGAAUACGGGCUGCGAAAGCACGGUCUAUCGAUCCUUUUGACCUUUUAAGAGUUUUAAGCAAGAGGUGUCAGAAAAGUUACCACAGGGA
rnacentral:rRNA from 1 species